AUUGAACGCUGGCGGAAUGCCUAACACAUGCAAGUCGAACGAGUUGUGUAGCAAUACAUGACUAGUGGCGGACGGGUGAGGAACACAUAGGAAUCUACCCUUGUAGUGGGGAAUAACCCGGGGAAACCCGGACUAAUGCCGCAUACGCACUAAGGUGGAAAGCGGGGAGUCGUAAGUCCUCGCGCUAUAGGAUGAGCCUAUGUCGGAUUAGCUAGUUGGUAGGGUAACGGCCGUACCAAGGCGACGAUCCGUAGCUGGUCUGAGAGGACGAUCAGCCACACUGGAACUGAGGCACGGUCCA
rnacentral:rRNA from 1 species